GCUCCCUCAAGCCGUUUUCAAUCAGGUGGAGACUGCUCUGCUCAUCCCAGAGGCCUCAGUUAUCCUCUGAAAAAGCUCAUGCAGCUUAUGAAAGAAACAGUUGUGGAAACUUUAUAAUUCAUCUGUAAAGAACUCUAGACCUGGCAGCUUUGUUUGGGCAAGAUUCACAAACAUUCUUGAUUAGAAUGUUCAGCAGAGUGCGCGUGGAAAAUUCUGACUCCCAGGCUCCCCCUUCCUCACCAGGGCAGAAUCUGCAGGGGAAGGUUUGUAACAAGCACGCCAGAAGAGUCUCGUGAUGAGGAUAAUUUAGGAACUAUUUGGGUGUCAGAUGAUGACGAGCUAUCCUUGUUUUAAAGCCCCCUGUGCUGCCUGUUGUCUUCACGUCACUCAAACAUUUCGCAUGGCUUGAGAAGUGCUGCCAUGUCUGCACCCGGGAUGUGAACCGGCGAACCCUGGGCCACAGAAGUGGAAUGUGCAAACUCAACCGCUGCACCACCAGAAACAAGCAAGGAGGUACCUGGGCAUAAGCAGCUCAUGAGAUGCAUUUCUCAGGCAAUAUUGUAUGAUUUAAUCGACUCUGGAAGAUGGUCCGUUCAGAGCUAAAUGGCUAUCAGUCAAGACUGGUGCCACACAGCCAGAAGAUUUACAUGUACAACUAUUAUCUAAGUCUCAAGGACUUUUUUCCAUUCUGCAUAACCUACCCAGCUUUCAGGAUUUAUAUUUAUAUUCAAAAGGGGGGCAUGAGGAAGUGUAACAUCCAGCCAGUCUUCGAGCACCGCACUGUAAUGCAGAGUCAGGAAGAACAACUGCCAACUAUUCAUAAACAAGACACCACUGAGAGAAUCCUAGGACAUAAGGGUGAGGCUGAAGCUCUCCCCUGCACCUCAGAGACCAAGACAGACUGCAUUGGAAAGCUUUUUCUCCCCAAAGCCCCCCAAGCACCCAGUUGUAUAUUCUAGUUGUGGGUCCUUCUGGUUGUGUUAUGUGGGACGCUGCCUCAGCAUGGCCUGAUGAGCAAUGCCAUGUCUGUGCCCCGGAUCCGAACUGGUGAGACCCUGGGCUGCCAACAGAGUAUGCAAACUUAACCACUCGGCCACGGGGCCAGACCCCUAAAAUUCUACACAUUUUAAAUGUCUAAAUUCUGGAUGUUAUAAACAAUCAUUCAUCUUCUA
rnacentral:lncRNA from 1 species